rnacentral:rRNA from 2 species
UCCACACGACUCUCGGCAACGGAUAUCUCGGCUCUCGCAUCGAUGAAGAACGUAGCGAAAUGCGAUACCUGGUGUGAAUUGCAGAAUCCCGCGAACCAUCGAGUCUUUGAACGCAAGUUGCGCCCGAGGCCAUUCGGCCGAGGGCACGCCUGCCUGGGCGUCACG